rnacentral:lncRNA from 1 species
GUUAUUGUUUGAAGUUAUUAAGUUUUAGGGUAGUUUGUUACAAAAUAAUAGAUAAAUUACAGAUAGAUCCCUAUUCCUGGUUAAAAAGUAACAAACUUCUCUGAUUCCCUUACAGUUAGGAAUGCUGAGGGAGGGAGUGAUAGGAGAAUUGAAGUUUUUUGACAGCACCCCCAAGACACAGAUUCAAAUGGAUCAUUUAUUUGUUCCAUUAACUUUUCUUUUUCCUGCUUGGAAUAUGGAUGCAAUAUUGGGAGAUGAAGCAGCAAUCUUGCAACAAUGACAAUAAAAGUCAUACAUUAAAGAUGGGGAAUCUCAAAACUAAAGGAACCUGAGUUCUUACUUUAAAAAAAAAAAAUAGCUACAAUAGCUCUUAACUAAAUAUUUAUGAAUUUACACUACAUGAAAAAAUAAAUCUUUAUUCAGUUAAGCCACUGAGGUUAGUUUUUGUUAUGUAUACCUGAAUAUAACCCUAGCCAAUAUGUAAUUCUAUAGAUUUACAUCUCUGAAGCUCUUUGUUCUUUGUACUGUGAUUAUAGCUGAAGUGGCCUUCUUCCCACAGAAUUCACAUUAAUUUGCAUCUGUCUUUUCUUUCUUAUUCAAUGGUGUAUCUGCUAGGACCAUCAAGACAGAAACCAUACUUGUAAUUUGAAGAGGGAAAAUUUAGUGUAAAAGUUGCUAAAGAGAGAGGGGUGUUUAACUACUAAAAGGCAUAGAGUGGCUCUAUGGGAUACAGUGGUAAUAGUAUAGGUACACCUACUACCUAUGUCUGACAGAGAGUGAACAGCAAGCAAGAAACAGAAAUUUAGAGAAGAGGGCUUGUCUGUCAAAGGAACGUGUGUGGUCCACCUGUGGUAAAGAAACUUGCUGGAAGUGUGGACCAGACUGAAUCAUGAAGACUGCUGAAGUGAAUACCACCAGGCAUGCCUUACAAACUGGUCCUCUAGCUGCACACACAAAACAGAAUACCAGAAGAAAGAAGAACUCUUUCCUUCUGCUCUGGUCUCCCAGUAUUUGUUUAUUUAUUUAUUUAUUAUUCUUUUUAAAGAGAGAGAGAAUUUUUUAAUAUUUAUUUUUUAGUUUUCGGCGGGCACAACAUCUUUGUAUGUGGUGCUGAGGAUCAAACCCGGGCCGCACGAAUGCCAGGCGAGCGCGCUACCACUUGAGCCACAUCCCCAGCCCCUCCCGGUAUUUAUUUUUUAAAAAUAACAUUUUACCAGGAAAUGCCUCCAGGAUCCAUC